CUCGGCUGGCUCCGGCCUCUCUCCUCCUCUGAGGCCUGGCUCUCCUCCUCGCGACCAGUCUGCCGUUUCCUUCUUUUCCUCACUCGCGAGUCCGGCCACCGCCGUUCCCGUUUAGGGAUAGUCUCGCUCGGGCGCCUGCUCGAGACUGAUCCCAGGGGCUCCGGGCUGCGCAAGGAGGGAGCCGCCUUCCGGAAGAGGACGGUGGGGCGCGAGGGAAGCCAUCGCGGACUAAAUAAGGGAGGCUGCAGCGGCUGCGCGUGCGCCCAGAGGCGUCGCGGGAGGGGGUGCUCUCGGGCGAGCUCUCCGGCCGCUGCCCCCGCCCCUGCGCUGUCAGGCGGGGAGAUCGGAAACCCCCUGGCGAGACCGCGGGCGGACGCUUCCCGAAGAGCUGCCUGGGCUGCAGCCGCGGAAGCUGCGCCCUAGGGAACGGGGAGCGCGCUCCGGCGCCCUCGGGCCGCUGCUAGAAGCCGGAACCGAGCCCGGGCCGCUGCCCCUCACCGGACGCCGCGCGCGCCACCGGCCCUCCGUGGGGCAGGGGCUGCUGCGAGCUCGCCGGGCGCCCUUUAGACACUCGUCCUUGUCUACUCCACCAGCAAAUGUUGAAGUUCUUCAAGAAUCAGUCCUUUGGAGGUGGUGUCGUUGAAAAUGAUGAGCAUUUAAGGAAAUCUAUUUCUCUGUUGAAUCACUAGCUGCGAAUUAGGCUAACAACAGAAGCUCAAGUGGUCACACACAGCAACAAAUACAGACUUUAUGAAGUUCAGAAAAGUUACCAAACAAUAGUAACCGUAACAAGUACCAACAACAAACUAUGGGGAGGGAGGAGAAUCUGAUUUCCAGAGUUACCACACUAUGAUACUAUUCAAAAUGUCACAUUUUUAGCGAAGAUUACAAGACAAGGAAAAACCAAAAAAGUAUGGCCCAUACACAGGAAAAAAAGAAAUUAAUAGAAACUACCCCUGAAGAAGCACAGACUUUGGAUGUAGAAAACGAAAACUUUUCAUCAACUUAGAUAUGCUAGAAGAGCUAAAGGAAACCAUGGACAGAGAACAAAAAAAUUAGGAAAGCAAUGUCUCAUCAAAUACAGAAAAAUAUUAAAGAGAUUGAAAUUGUAGAAAAGAACCAAAUAGAAAACGAAAACUUUUCAUCAACUUAGACAUGCUAGAAGAGCUAAAGGAAACCAUGGACAAAGAACAAAAAAAUUAGGAAAGCAAUGUCUCAUCAAAUACAGAAAAACAUUAAAGAGAUUGAAAUUGUAGAAAAGAACCAAAUAGAAAUUCUGGAGUUGAAAAGUAUUAUAACUAAAACUAAAAAUUCACUAGAGGUAUUCAGCAGCAGACUGGAGAAGUCAGAAGAAAGAAUCAACAGGCUUCAAGAUAAGUCAAUUAAGAUGAUGCAGUCUGAGGAGCAGAAAGGAAAAAGAAUGAAGAAAAAUGAACAGUGCAUAAAAGACUUAUGGGACUCUAUCAAGCAUACCAAUAUAUGCAUAAUGGGAGUCCCAGAAGGAGAAGAAAGAAAGGGACAUAAAUAAUAUUUGAAGAAAUAAUGGUAGAAAAUGUCCCAGCUUUGAUGAAAUACAUGAAUCUAGAUAUUCAAGAGGCUCAAAGAACUCUAAAUAGGGUAAACUCAAAAAGACCCACACCAAGACACAUAACUAAACUGUCAAAAGUCAAUGACAAAGAAUCCUGCAAGCAGCAAGAGAGAAGCAAUUCCUCACAUACAAAGGAUUCUCAGUAAGAUAAAUAGCUGACUUCUCAUUAGAAACCACAGAGGUCAGGAGGCAGUGGGAUGACAUAUUCAAAGUGCUGAAAGAAAAAACUGUCGGCCGGGCGCGGUGGCUCAUGCCUGUAAUCCCAGCACUUUGGGAGGCCAAGGCAGGCAGAUCACGAGGUCAGGAGAUCAAGACCAUCCUGGCUAACACGGUGAAACCCCGUCUCUAAUAAAAAUACAAACAAUUAGCCGGGCACGGUGGCGGACGCCUGUAGUCCCAGCUACUCAGGAGGCUGAGGCAGGAGAAUGGCGUGAACCCGGGAGGUGGAGCCUGAAGUGAGCCGAGAUUGUGCCACUGCACUCCAGCCUGGGCGACAGUGAGACUGUCUCAAAAAAAAAAAAAAAAAAAAAAGUUAAAAAAAAGUAAAAACUGUCAAGAUUCUGUAUCCAGCAAAACUAUCCUUCAAAAGUGAAGGAGAAAUUAAGACAUCCACAGAUAAGCAAAAACAGAGUAUCUCACUAGUAGUCCUGCCCUACAAGAAAUACUAAAGGGAUCCUUCAGCCUGAAGUGAAAAAACACCAGACAGUAAUUCAGAUCCACAUAAAGAAAUAAAAAACACUGAUAAACAUUUAAAUACGUAGGUAGAUAUAAAUGAAAGUAAUAAUUAUAUCUGUGUCAAUGAAAGCACAAUGUAUUAAGGUGAUUCAUGAUGAUGAGGAAAGUAUGAAGUAUAGGAGCAAAAAUUUUGUGUACUGUUGAAACUAAGUUGGUAUUUAUUUGAAAUAGAUUGUUAUAAAUGAAAGUGUUAAUUGUAAUCCCUAGAGCAACUACUAAGAAAAUAACUAAAAAUGUUGAAAAGGGAAUAAAAAUGGUAUGCUAGAAAAUAUCUAAUACAAAAAAGGCAUAAGGGAGGAAUUGAGGAAGACAUAGGGAAAACAAAUAGCAAGUGGCAAUGUCCUCCCUUACUACUAACUACAUUAAGUGUGAAUGCCUUAAACUCCAUGUAACAGUUGGAGAGAUUGGCAGAAUGGAGUCUUUUAAAUGCUCUAACUAUAUCCUGUUUAUAAAAGACUCACUUUAGAACGAAAGACACAAAUAUGUUGAAAGUGAAAGGGUGUCACCUUAGUUUUCUUUUUUUUUCUUUUUUUUUUGAUAUGUAGUUUCAUUCUUUUUGCCCAGGCUGGAGUGCAAUGGCAUGAUCUUGGCUUACCACAACCUCCGCCUACCGGGCCCAAGCAAUUCUCCUGCCUCAGCGUCCUGAGUAGCUGGGAUUACAGGCAUGUGCCACCACGCCUAGCUAAUUUUGUAUUUUUUAGUAGAGAUGGGGUUUCUCCAUGUUGGCCAGGCUGGUCUUUAACUCUAAACUUCAGGUGAUCUGCCUGCCUCGGCCUCCCAAAGUGCUGGGAUUACAGGCCUGAGCCACUGCGCCCAGCCGGCACCUUAGUUUUCUUGUGCUGCCAUAACAGAAUACCUGAGACUAGGUAAUUUAUAUAGAGCAGAAAUUUAUUUUCUCACAGUUUUGGAAUCUGAGAAAUUCCAAAUUAUGACAUUGGCAGGUUUGGUUGUCUGGUAAGAGCUGCUUUCUGCUUCCAAGAUGACGCCUUAUUGCUGCAUCCUCUAUACGGGAGGAAUGUUAUAUCCUCAACGUGGCAGAAGGUAAAAGGGCAAAAAGGAAUGAAAUUCCUCAUCAGGCCCUAACUUAAGGGCACCUAAUCUCAUUCAUGAAGGGAGGAGCCCUCAAGACUUACCCACCUCUUCCUGGCUGGGCACAGUGGCUCACGCCUGUAAUCCCAGCACUUUGGGAGGUCGAGGCAGGCGGAUCACAAGGUCAGGAGAUCGAGACCAUCCUGGCUAACACGGUGAAACCCCAUCUCUACUAAAAAUACAAAAACAAAAUUAGCUGGGCGUGCUGGCGGGCGCCUGUAGUCCAGCUACUUGGGAGGCUGAGGUGGGAGAAUGGCAUGAACCCGGGAGGUGGAGCUUGCAGUGAGCCGAGAUUGCACCACUGCACUCCAGCCUGGGUGACAGAGCGAGACUCCUUCUCAAAAAAGAAAACAAACAAAAAAAGUCCCACCUCUUAAUACCAUCAUGUUGGCCAUUUAGUUUAAGUAUCUGAAUUUUGGAGGGCACACAUUCAAACCAUAGCAAGUGGAAAAAGACAUUCCAAGAUAUCUCAGGUUCACAUGGAACAUUCUUCAGAAUAAAGCACGUUAGUCCACAAGUCUCAGUUUUAAGAGAUUGAAUUACAAAGUGUCUUCUCUGACUACAAUGGAAUAAAACUGAAAAUAACACACCCUUAAACAACCAAUGGGUCAAAGAAAGAUUAAGUCACAAGAUAAAUUAGAAAAUACUUUGAGAUGAAUAAAAACAAAAAUGCAGCACCCUAAAACAUAUGGAAUGCAGCAAAAGCAGUGCUCAAAGGAAAUUUUAUAGCUGCACAUGCCUACAUUAAAAAAUACCUAGAAUCAGCAACCUAACCUUCCACCUUUGGGAACUAGAAAAAGAAGAGGAAACCAAAGCUAGCAGAAGGAAGGAAAUAAUAAAGACUGGAGCAGAGAUAAAUGAAAUAUACAGUAGAAAAUAGAAUCCACAAAACCAAAAGUUCGUUGUUUGAAAUAAUAAUGUUCACAAACCCUUAAAAAGACUGAGCAAGACAAAAAGAUUCAGAUUACUAAAAUCAGGAAUAAAGUGGGGACAUUACUGCCAAUCUUACAGAAAUAAAAAGGAUUGUAAGGAUAUACUAUUAACAAUGAUAUGCUAACAAAUUAGAUAACCUAUGGACAAAUUCCUAGCAGCACACAAACUACCAAAACUGACUCAAGAAAAAACUAAACCUAUAAUAGUACUAAUUAAAAAAAAAAAAAAACUUCCAAGAAAGGAAAGAUCAGACCACGUGGCUUUACUGGUGACUUAAAAUAUUUUAAGAGUGCCAGUCCUUCUCACACACUUAAAGUAGGGGAAGAGGGAAUAUCUUAACUCAUUAUAUGAUGCCAGUGUUACUUAGUACCAAAUCCAGACAAAGACAUCACAAGAAAAUAAAACUACAGUCCACUAUUUCUAAUGAAUAUAGAUGCAAAGAUCCUUAACCAAAGUGAAUCCUGAAGCACAUUACAAGGAUAUCCACUUUGAAAAUGGCAAUACUCCCCCAAUUAGCCAACAGAAUCAGUGAAAUUCCUACCAAAAUUCCAACUGCCGUUAAUGUAGAAAUGGGCAGGUUGAUCCUAAAAUUCAUAAGAAAUUGCAAGGAUGUGGCCGGGUGUGGUGGCUCACGCCUGUAAUCCCAGCACUUUGGGAGGCCAAGGCGGGCAGAUCACGAGGUCAGGAGGUAGAUACCAUCCUGGCUAACACAGUGAAACCCUGUCUCUACUAAAAAUUUUAAAAAGCCGGGCGUGGUGGCGGGUGCCUGUAGUCCCAGCUACUGGGGAGGCUGAGGCAGAAGAAUGGCAUGAACCCGGAAGGCGUUCACUCAAAAGAGUGUGGUACUGACAUAAGGAUAGAUAUGUAGGCCAAUAAAACAGAAUUGAGAGCCCAGAAGUAAGCCUAUACAUCUGUGGUCAACUGAUUUUUGACAAAGGUGUCAAGAUAGAUCACUGGGAAAUAGAAUAGUAUUUUUAACAAAUGCUGAGGAUACUGGGUAUCCACAUGUAAUAGAAUGGAUUUGGACUCUUACCUUACACCACAUGCAAACAUUAAGUCAAAAUAAAUCAAAUACCUAAAUAUAAGAAUGAAAAUAUACAACUAUUAGAAGAAAAUAUUGGGGUAAGUCUAUAUGACCUGGGAUUUGCCAGUGGGUUCUUAGAUAUGAUACCAAGAACUCAAGUAGCAACACGAAAAAUAGAUACAAUUAGGCUUGAUCAAAAUUUAAAACUUUACAUAUCAAAUGACACUAUCAAGAAAGAGAAAAGAGAACCCACUGAGUGAGAGAAAAUAUUUGCAAGUCAUAUACCUGGUAAAGGUCAAAUAACUCUUACAAGUCAUCAAUUAAAAGACAACUCAAGUUAAAAAUGGGCAAAGGACUUGAAUAGACAUUUCUCCAAGGGAGGUAUUCUAAUGGCCAAGUACAUGAAGAGAUGCCUAGCAUCAUAACCUUCCACCUUAAGGGAAAUGCAAAUCAAAACCACGAUGAGAUACCACUUUCUAUACUCACUAGGGUGCUAUUAUUAAAAGACAAGUAUUGGCAAGGUUGUGGAGAAAUUGGAAAGCUCAUAAAUUGCUGGCGGAAAUAUAAAAUGGUGCAUUCACUAUAAAAUAGUUUGACAGUUCAUCAAAAUUUUAAACGGAAUUAACAUGACCCAGCAGUUCUAAAUAUAUACUCAAGAGGAUAGAAAACAAAUAAAAACUUCUACACGAAUGUAUGUAGCGGCACUAUAAUAGCCAAUAAGUAGAAACAACCCAAAUGUUCAUCAACAGAUGAAUGGACAAAUUGUGGUAUAUUCAUACAAUAAAAAACUACUCAGCCAUAAAAAGAAAUUAUGUACUAGUAUACUUUGCAACAUGGAUCAACCUUGAAAACAUGCUAACUGAAAAGAAAAGGCCACAUCUUACAUGAUUGUAUUUAUGUGAAACAUCUAGAAGAGGCUCAUCCAUAGAGACAGAAAACAUUGAUGGAUGCUAGGGGUUAGGGAAAUGUAGAAAUGGGGAGUUGCUGCUUAAUGGGUUUCUUUUUUGAGUGAUGAAAAUAUUCAGAUUUAGGUAGUGGUGAUACUUGCAAACAUUGUGAAUGUAAUGGAAGGCACUGAAUUGUACAGUAAAAUGGUUAAAAUGGUGAGUUUUAUGUCAUGUGAAUUUUACCUCAAUAAUUUUUUAAAGUAGCCCCUCUCUUAAUCCAUUUUCUGCUGCUCUAAAAGAAUACCCUAAACUUUAUAAAGAACAAACGUUGGCCUGGCACGGUGGCUCACGUCUGUAAUCCCAGCACUUUGGAAGGCCGAGGUGGGCAGAUCACGAGGUCAGGAGUUCAAGACCAGCCUGGCCAACAUGGUGAAACCCCAUCUCUACUAAAAAAAAUAGCAAAAACCAGCUGGGCGUGGUGGCACGUGCCUGUAAUCCCAGCUACUUGGGAAGCUGAGGCAGGAGAAUUGCUUAAACCCCGGAGGUGGAGGUUGCAGUGAGCUGAGAUCACACCAUUGCACUCCAGGCUGGGCAACAGAGCGAGAGACUCUUGUCUGAAAAAAAAAAAAAAAAACAGUAUAUUGGCCCACAGUUCUGGCAGCUGAGAAGUCCUAGAUGAAGGGGCCACAUCUAGUGAGGGCCUUCUUACUGCAUCAUAACAUGGUGGAAGUCAUCACAUGAUGAGAGAGAGAGCAAGAAAAAGUGCUUUUGUUACAAGCCCAUUCCAUUAUAAUGAACCCACUCCCAUGAUAACAAUCUAUUCAUGAGGACAGAGCCAUCAUGACCUAUUAGGUCCUACCUCCCAACACUGUUGCAUUGAAGAUUAAUUUUCCAACACAAGAACUUUGGGGGACACAGUCCAUAGCAGUCCCUCUCUUCACUAAUUUUUUUUCAUGAAUUCUUCCACUCCCGUGGCUUUUGUGUGUAGUUACCAUCUAUACAGAGAUGCCUCACUAGAGGCAGUUUGUAUCUCCAACUCACAUCUUUUUUCUGAGUUCCAGAUGUGAAUAUCCUACUGUUUACUUACCUACCACCUCCACACAUAUGCUUCAAAUGCAACUUUGAAAUAUAAAACUGAGUUCAUUACCUUUUCGCCUAAAUUUGAUUAUCUGUGAAUGUUUUCUGUCUCACUAAAGAUAGCUUCCAGUCAUUGAGAGUUUACUGUAUGUUAUGACUAAAGUAAGUGUUAAUCCAUUAAUUCGCUUAAUCCUCACAAGAACCUCAGAUAAUACUGUUUUCCAUUUGCAGUGAGAAAGUUGAAAGGUAAAAUAACUUCUUAAAGUCAUACACCUUUUAAGGAAAGGCUAGCCCUCAACAAAGGCAGCCUGACUUUUCACAGCCUAUGUUCUUAAUGCCAUUGCUAUAUCAUCCUUUACCUUUUUCUAGAGACCUAGAAGUCAUCUUUGUCACUUCUCUCCUUUACUUGCUUUAUCCAGUUGAUCAUGAGGUCCUAUUGAUUUGACUUCCUAAGUAACUCUCACUCCAUCCAAUUCAUUUCAUCUGCUACCACCAGCCUUAUCCAAGCAACCAUCUUUUGUCUAUACAAUGGGCUCUUGACUAACCUCCCAUAUUCACUGACAACAACCUAAUAAAAAUAUUUAUAAAUAUAAAUUUGUAUCUUACAGGUAGGGAAUUUAUAUUCUUAUUAGGCCCAAGGAACAUUUCCAAAUAUUAAUCAUAAGAUUGACCACCUAGAAAACCUUAGUGAAUCUCAAAAAGUAGGAAUCUUAAGAGCUACUUUUCAGAUAGUGCAAUAAAACCUAAAGUCAACAAAGGUUAUUUUUGUUUCUUGAUGAUAUUAACUGCUGGUUUACCAUCAGUCUCUCCAACACUCCUGCCUUAAUUCUUGGCGAUUUUAAUAUGCACAUCAAUGAUCUUUCCAAUAUCUUGACCUCCAGCUUCUUGGACACCUCUUUUCAUUCUACUUCAGCCACUCCUUUGGUCAUUCCCUAGUUAGAUCUGCUUAUUACCAUUAACUGCAUCUCAACUUCAUGCAUCCACCUUUCUGGUUGCCACAUCUUGUCUUUCCAGCUUUCCCCUCUAGAUCCCUAGCUCCUCAUAAUUAUUUAACUUUGUUGGUAGUUCUAAUCUAUUGAUUGUAUCACUGUUUCACUGCUUCUCACCCUUAUUUUCCUCCUCACUUGGCUUAAAUUCCAUAGCCAGUCAUUGAUUGGAUAUUCCUUUUACCCACUGGCAAAACCAUAACCCUAAUCAUUACUUAUCUACUCCAUUCUUGCUCUCAUGUAGCUGAACAUGACUGGAAGAAAAAUGCAAGAGUUUCACUUUAAAUUCUUGAAGACAAACCUCAUGUGACCUCAAGAUGCUGCCAGUCAAUCAAAUUAUAUUUUCUCCAAGUUUAUUUACUUGUAGUCAGCUUGGGCUGCUACAAUAAAAUAUCAUAAACUAGGUAGCUUAUAAACAGCAGACUUGUCUUCCUUAUGGUUCUGGAGGCUGGGAAAUUCAUGAUCGAGGCACCAGCAGAUUUAGUGUCUGUUGAAGUCCAGCUUUCUGGUUCAUGGAUGGUGACUUCUCACUGUGAGAAGGUAUGGUGGAAGGAAAGAGGGGUCCUUUCUCGAGCCUCUUUGAUAAGGACACUAAUCUCAAUCAUGAGGACCACCCCCCCAUAACCUAAUCACCCUCCAAAGGUGAUUAGGCCUUCUGAUACCAUCACCUUGUGGGUUAGGAUUUCAACAUACGAAUUUUGAAGGGACGCAAACAUUCAGAGCAUAGCACUCCCUUUUCCUGAGAUGAUUUUAUGUAAUUCUCCUCUCUUUUCAAAUAUCCAACACUCUAUUGCCAGUCUUACCCUCGAUGAUAACUCUUGUUCCUAUUUCCUGGAGAAAAUCGGAGCAAUCAGAAGAGAUCCCCUGCCACUAAAUAUCUUUCUAGCAGCUUCUGAACUCAUAAUUUUCUUUCCAGCCUGUUACUAUACAUAUAUGCAUGAUGUCCAUGCUCUCAUCUAAAAUCAGCCUCUGCUUGUGUACUAGAUCAGGGUUGACAAAAUGCAGCCUGUGGCCCAAAUCCUGCAUUUUCUUUUUGUACAGCCCAUAAACCAAGAAUAGUUUUUACUUUUUUUUUUUUUUUUUGAGACGGGGUCUCACUCUGUUACCCAGGCUGGAGUGCAGUGGCACGAUCUUGGCUCACUGCAACCUCCACCUCCCGGGUUCAAGCGAUUCUCUGCCUCAGCCUCCCAAGUAGCUGGGACUAGAGGCGCCCGCCGCCACGCCCGGCUAAUCUUUGUAUUUUUUAGUAGAGAUGGGGUUUCACUAUGUUGGUCAGGCUGGUCUUGAAUUCCUGACCUUGUGAUCCACCCGCCUCAGCCUCCCAAAGUGCUGGGAUUGCAGGCGUGAACCACUGCGCCCAGCUAGUUUUUUACAUUUUUAAGUGUUGGGGAGAAAAAAGUAUAUACAGCAGAAACCAUGUGUGAUCCACAAAGCCUAAAAUAUUUACUGUCUGGCUCUUUCCAAAAAAAUUUUACUGAUUCCUGUACUAGAUCACAUUCCCUCACACCUACUUGAUAGUAACACAGCAAUUCUUCCUUCUCUCUUCUACAUUAACCAGUGUUUGCCCUCAUUCAAGAUUACUUCCACUGGCAUUCAAGCAUUCUGUUAUUUCUCCCAUCUUUAAACAAACCAAAAAAAUCUCGAUACUACUUUUCUUGCCAGUUACUGUCCUGUUUCUUUGCUCCCCUUCUCAACACAGCACCUUGAUUUUUAUUUUUAUUUUAUUUUAUUUUGAGACAGGGUCUCGCUCUGUUGCCCAGGCUGGAGUGCAGUGGUGCAGUCUCGGCUCACUGCAACCUCCACCUCCCAGGUUCAAGUGAUUCUCCUGUCUCAGCCUGCUGAGUAGCUGGGAUUACAGGCAUGUGCCACCAUGCCCAGCUAAUUUUUGUGUUUUUAGUAGAAACAGGGUUUCACCAUGUUGGCCAGACUGGUCUUCAACUCCUGACCUCAGGUGAUCCGCCUGCCUUGGCCACCCAAGAUGCUGGGAUUACAGGCACGAGCCACUGCGCCCAAAUAGCACCUUGAAUUAAUAGUCUGUAGAUGCUGUUUUGAAUUCCUCAUUUCUAAUUCUCACUUGAACCUACUCUAAUCAGGCUUUCUCCCCGUCACAAAGACCACUGUCCUUAUCACAGUCACUAAUAGCUUCCAUAUGCUAAUUCCAAUGGUCAGUUUUCAAUCCUACUUUAUUUGACCUAUCAGCAACAUUUGACCAAGUAUAUUCACUACCUCCUCCUUGGUAAACUUUUCUUCACUUGAUUGCACACUGUGUUUUCUCCCUACGUUACUGAUGUCUCCUUUAUUGGUCUGAUACGUUUCCCAGAUCUCCUCACACUGGAGUGCCCCAGGGCUCAGCCUGUCUUUCCCCAUCUACACAUCUUGAGGGAUCUUAUCCACUUUCAUGGCUUUCAAAACCAUCUAUUUGCUGACAACUCCCAAAUUUACAUGUAGCCUUGACUUCUCACCUAAAACCCAGAUUCCUUUAUCUAACAACCUACCCAACAUCUCCAGGUAAAUGUCAGAUAAACAUCUCAAAACCAAAACAUCUAAAACCAAAUUUCUGAUAUUUAAUCCUAAACCUGUUCAGUAGUCAUCCUCAUUUUAGGAAUGUUAACUCACCCUUCUCGAUAAUGAUGGUAAAAACUUUGGAGUCGGCUGGGCGUGGUGGCUCACGCCUGUAAUCUCAGCACUUUGGGAGGCUGAGGUGGGCGGAUCACAAGGUCACGAGAUCAAGACCAUCCUGGCUAACACGAUGAAACCCCAUCUCUACUAAAAAUACAAAAAAAAUUAGCCAGGUGUGGUGGCGGGCACCUAUAGUCCCAGCUACUUGGGAGGCUGAGGCAGGAGAAUGGCAUGAACCCAGGAGGUGGAGCUUGCAGUGAGCCAAGAUCAUGCUGCUGCACUCCAGCCUGGGCCACAGAGUGAGACUCUGUCUCGGAAAAAACAAAAAACAAAAAACAACUUUGGAGUCAUCCUUGACUUUCCUGUUUAAUACCACAUAUUCAUUGUAUCAAGAAAUCCUGCUGGCUGUACCUUUGAAAUGGAAUGAGAGUCUGACCCCUUCUCAGUCCUCUACUGCCACCACCUUGAUCCAAGCUGCUAUUAUCUCUCACCUGGGUUGCUGCUCACUUGCCUCCUGAUUCUAUCCUUGUUCCCUAUAAUCUGUGCUCAAAUAGCCAGUCAUGCUUUUGAAAUGUAAAUUAUGUUGUGUCACUCAUCUGCUCAGGAUUCUUCAGUGGCUCCCCAUCUCACUCAGUGAAACCCAAAGUCAUAACAAUGGCCUAAAAGCCUACAUGAACUCAUCUCUCUUGCGUCUCAGACCUCAUCUCCAACUCUCCACCCGUGCUAUUCUGGGCAUUUACUAAUUUAGGGCUUUUGCACAAGCUGUUUACUUUCUAUUCUUCUGUGUGUUCACUUGGCUAACUCCCCUCCUUUAAGUCCUUCCUUAAAUCCCACCUGCUCAAUGGGGCCUACCUUGAUCACAUUAUUUUAAAUUACAGCCCCUCCAUUUGCACAUAUGAUUUUCCUUUCUCUUUUUUAUUUUUGUGUUACGUAUAACACCACUUUCUAGCAUGCUGUAUAAUUUAUGUAUUAUGUUUAUUGUCUAGCUCCUGCCUCCUAAUGGAGGCUUCAUAAGGAUAAAAAUCAGAAUCUCUUUCGCUCUGUGAUAUAUUCCAAGCAUGUGGCUCAUAGUUGAUACUUCAUAGAUAUUUGUAGAAUAAAUAAAAAUGAAUUUAAAAACUUCCCGAUUCUUUAAAAACACUACAAAAUAAUUACUGGAUUAUAGCAGAAGUCAAAUUUGAGAUUACAAGUUGCAUACAAAUUGGAAAACUGGAACACUUCAUAUGAAUAUGUAUGGGAAGUGAAUCAAACCUAAGCCCAGAGAAGAAUUCAUAGCUUUAAAGGAAUAUAAUGCCAAACAAAAUAAUUCUUACUGUGAUCAGAGCUCUUAAUAAUGUUCUCUAUCAUCACUUCCUGCAUCAAUCUCCUAGCAAAGCUACUGGGCUUUCUCUCCCAAAGUUAUUACAUUAGAACAGCGGUUCUCAAUAUGUAGUUGCUGGCCUAACAGCAUCAGCUUCACCUGAGAACUUGUUAGAAAUGCAAAUUGUUUUAAUUUGCAUUUCUCCAACUGAUUUCGAUACACGCGAUUGUUUGAGAAUAUUGCAUUAGACUCAGGAAGCUUAUUUCUUACUGCCUUUUUCUUUUCUCACAUAGAAGAAUAGAGUCCGCUAUUGAUUCAAACACUGUCUUGCUUAGGGAGACAAAUUUAAUGCAUCAGACAGGGUUAAUAGAUAAUCGUUUCUUUCAUGUUAGCCAAUAUACAAUUAUCUUUAGGGCCAGGCGUGGUGGCUCAUGCCUGUAAUCCCAGUACUUUGGGGGACCGAGGCGGGCGGAUCAGGAGUUCAAGAACAGCCUGGCCAACAUGGUGAAACCCCAUUUCUACUAAAAAUACAAAAAUUAGCUAGGCAUGGUGGUGUGUGCCUGCAGUCCCACCUACUUGGGAGGCUGAGGCAGGAGAAUCGCUUGAACCCGGGAGGCGGAGUUUGCAGUGAGCCGAGAUUGUGCAACUGCACUCUAGCCUGGGUGAUAGAGUGAGACUACUUCUCAAAAAAAAAAAGAAAAAUGCAUUCUGGAUGCAUUUUGUUCAUCAUGUAUACCUUGAGUAUCAUUACCUUAACUUCUAUUUUUAAGAUGAACCAAAACAAAAGUAUUGUGUUGAAGUCAUAAUCAUAGGCUUGUAUCACCCUUACAGUUUUCAUCCUGAGGUUCAUAAUCACAAACAAAUUUUUAUAGAAUAUCCUGUUUAAUAUCCACGAAUAUGUUGUAAAAGAAAUAUCAAGACUUAUAUUGAGAACAUCUUAAGAAUUUACAGAAGGGCGCUCUUGGGCAACCUACUUUCUCAGCAUGAGGAAGCUUUCUGUCUCUCUUCUUGUCUAUUAAACUUUCCACUCCUAAACUCAAAAAAAAAAAAAAAGAAUUUACAGAAGGGCAUAAAAUAAUUUGACUAAGUCAAAAAACCAUUUAAUUUCCUGGUUAGAAUAACUUAAUAGUGUAAAGAUACUUUACACUAUUAAUAUAUACAUGUAAUGCAAUAAUUUCAAUCAUAAUCAUAACUUUGGAGAAAUGAGGGUAGUAUUUGAUGGUUCUAAAAUUUAUCCUGAGAAAUUAAUUCAUGGAAAAAUUUAAAAUCAUGAGGAAGAAGAAGAAUGAGGGAAUACCAUACAUUAAAAUGUACUGUAAGUCUAAAGUCAUUUUAAAUGUAUGUUAUAGCUACUGGAAGAGACAAAUACUACAUGAAUCAAAAUACUUUAAAAAUACCUCCAUAUGGUUAUGAGAAUUCAGUGAAUUAUAAAGGAGGCAUUUUAAAUCAGUAGCAAAUUGAUGGAAUAUUUAAGAAAUGAUGUUGAAACGUAUCUACUCAUUCUGAAUAAAAAGUUAAAUCUCUUCUUUACAUUGUACUCCCAAAUAAGUUCUUAAUGUGUUAAAUACCUAAAUGUUAAAGUAUGAAAGCACUAAAAGAAUAUAUAGGAUUGUUUUAAUCUAGGUAUCAACAGAACAUGAAACCCAGAAGCCACAGGGAAAAACACUGAUAGAUUUGACACAUACAAAUUUAUAACUUCUUUAUGAUGAAAAAUAUAAAUAAAGUUAAAAGCUAAGUUAUGGAUUUGGAGAAAAUAAUUACAAUACAUAAAAGAAUCAAGAAGUUAAUACGUAUACUAUACAAAGAACUCCCAAAAUUAGUAAAAAUACCAACUCAUCAAAAAGUAGAUAGAAUAUAUUAUAGAUGAGUCAGAAAAGGAAAUAGAGAUGGCCAGUAAUAAAUGUUUAAUCUCAUAUAUAAAAUAAAUACAAAUAGCAUUGAACUUUCAGUGUAAGGCUAGACUGAGCACCCAUAUGUACCUCUCUUUCAAGGUCUUUAUUCUUCUAAUUUCACCAUUACAUACCCUUAUGUGUAUCACCACAUUAUUACCGUCACUCUACAAAUAAGGAAACUAGGACAUAAAGUAGUUAAAUCAUUUGGCCAAAGUCAAACAAAUAAUAAAAGCGGCAGAGCUGGGGUGUGCACUCAGCAUUUGAACUCUAGGAUCUACCCUCCAACCCUCCAUACUAUGUUACCUCUAAAUGAAUUAAAGCAUAUCUGGGAGUGGCCAAGACACUUUCAGAAGAUCUAUGAAGUUAAAACUUUGCAAAAUAAUAGCAAAACAUAAUUUGGCUUUUCCACUCUUUCAUGAGUGUGGCAAUGUCAUUUUCCAGAGGCUUCAUGACAUGUAAUGUUGCAAAAGAUUAAAUGCAGAAGCAGAUACGAGAAUUCAGCUGAUUUCCAUUAAGUCUCAUAUUAAAGAGAUUUACAAAAAAGUAAACAAAGCCACUCUUGUUUGGAAAUACGUAACUUUUUCAUGAAAAUAUUAAAACAUAAUUAGUUUAUUUGAAAUGAAUUUAUAAAUAGUUUUAAAUUUCUCACUUUUAAUUUCUAAUUGGUAAAUAUAAAUAGAUAAAAUCCACAUAAGCAAAAGCUCUUUGUAUUCCUCAAUAAUUUUUAAGGAUGCAAAGGGAUCUUGAGGCCACAAAGUUUGAGAACUACUGAAUUAAACAAUUACCUCCAGUCAACUGACAGCUGAGCCAGUUAGGCCUCUAUCCCCCUUCACUCACAUAUACAGAGGGAACCUUCUGGGAAUCUGUGGCUUUUCCCCCAGGAAUAAAAUCUCAAGAGGUCUUCUGUAGCCUAGAGCAAAGUACGGUAAGGAAAAACAUUUGAGAUGGUACCAUGUCACUAUCAGCUGUUCUCUCCUUCCUGGGCACAAACUUUUGCACAAGUGCAAACUGUCUAUUGAACAGCACCUGUGUUCACUAAAUGGCCCCACUGUGGCAUGCUAGCAGAUGCUCUCUGUUAGGGAAAGGGACGUGCUUAUCUAGUAUCAACAGUAGAAAAUGUCCUAGAUGACAAAGGAAUGACUGAUGUUUAUAAUCUGUUGUGCCUGAAAAGACACCUGAUUCUGGUUUUCCAUUUACAAUACUGCAGUGGCUCACGCUUGUAAUCCCAGCACUUUGGGAGGCCGAGGUAGGCAGAUUGCCUGAGGUCAGGAGUUCAAGACCAGCCUUCCCAACAUGGCGAAACCUCGUCUCUACUAAAAAUACAAAAAAUUAGCUGGGCGUGGUGGCGGGCACCUGUUAUCCCAGCUACUUGGGAGGCUGGGGCAGGACAAUUGCUUGAACCCAGGAGGAGGAGGUUGCAGUGAGCCAACAUGGAGCCACUACACUCCAGACUGGGUGACAAGAGCGAAACUCCGUCUCAAAAUAAAUAAAUAAAUAAAUAUAAAGUUUCCUUUUAAAAUAAAUUUAGUGGCCAGGCGCGGUGGCUCAUGUCUGUAAUCCCAGCACUUUGGGAGGCUGAGGUGGGCAGAUCACCUGAGGUCAGGAGUUCCAGACCAGUCUAGCCAACAUGGCGAAACCCUGGCUCUACUAAAAAUACAAAAAUUAGCCAGGCAUGGUGGUUUGCGCCUGUAAUCUCAGCUACUCAGGAGGCUGAGGCACGAGAAUCACUUGAACCCAGGAGGCAGAGGUUGCAGUGAGCUGAGAUGGUGCCACUGCACUCCAGCCUAGGUGACAGACUGAGACUCUGUCUCAAAAAUAAAAUAAUAAAUUUAAUUUUCAAAAUUGAGUUGAUUUAAAGAAAAGUGUUAAGAAAAUGUUAUAUAUAUGUAAAGAUGGCAAAAAUUGUGAAGUGAAAGAAGUUUGAGAAACAUUGCUAGAAAGCAAAUCAUUAGUCUGUCUCGGGUGGGUCUUUGAUGUAGUAGUUAGGGGUCUGAGAAAAAUGAGGCAGACAUGAGGUAACUCCAGACCCCCACGCUAAGGGAGAUAAGAAGCAAGGAGGAAGGGCAACUCUGCCUGAGAGUGAAAGGUUGCAACUCUGCACCCUGGCAUUCUCUAGUCUCUACUUGUUCCUUCCCCGGUAAAUCUGCUUACUGGUAUGUUUCAGUCACACAAAGCUUGUGUUCACCCCUAUGUGUCUUCUACUGCUACUCAGUCUUCAUUGGAGACCUAAUUUUCUCCUAAAACUCUUUAUGAUUGGCCAGGCGCAGUGGCUCAUGCCUGUAAUCCCAGCACUUUGGGACACCAAGGCGGGUGGAUCAGGAGAUCAGGGGUUCGAGACCAGCCUAACCAACAUGGCGAAACCCCUUCUCUACUAAAAAUACAAAAAUUAGCUGAGCAUGGUGGCAGGCGCCUUAAUCCCAGCUACUCAGGAGGCUGAGGUGUGAGAAUUGCUUGAACCUGGGAGGUGGAGGUUGCAGUGAGCCGAGAUCGCACCACUGCACUCCAGCCUGGGUGACAGAGCGAAACUCUGUCUGAAACAAAACAAAACAAAACAAAAAAACACUUUAUGAUCGGCCAAGUGUGUUGGCUUAUGCCUGUAAUCCCAGCACUUUGGGAGGCUGAGGCAGGCGGAUCACAAGGUCUUGAGAUCAAGACCAUCCUGGCUAACAUGGUAAAACCCCAUCUCUACUAAAAAUACAAAAAAAUUAGCCAGGUGUGGUGGUGGGCGCCUGUAGUCCCAGCUACUUGGGAGGCUGACGCAGGAGAAUGGCAUUAACCCGGGAGGCGGAGCUUGCAGUGAGCCGAGAUUGCGCUGCUGCACUCCAGCCUGGGCGACAGAGCGAGACCCUGUCUCAAAAAAAAAAAAAAAUAGAAAAA